rnacentral:misc_RNA from 1 species
UACGUAGGGUGCAAGCGUUAUCAGGAAUCAUUGGGCGUAAAGCGCGCGUAGGUGGCUUGAUAAGCCGGUUGUGCAAGCCCCGGGCUCAACCUGGGAACGGCAUCCGGAACUGUCAAGCUAGAGUGCAGGAGAGGAAGGUAGAAUUCCCGGUGUAGCGGUGAAAUGCGUAGAGAUCGGGAGGAAUACCAGUGGCGAAGGCGUCCUUCUGGACCGACACUGACACUGAGGUGCGAAAGCGUGGGUAGCAAACAGG